rnacentral:lncRNA from 1 species
AAUAUUAAAUAUUGCCACCUCAUACUAGCAUACCAAACAAGUGUAUAUACAUUGUCUACAACAUGUAUAUUAAUAAUUUACAUUAGGUUUGUCUAUACACAACAAAAAAAUACUCGACUUCCAGCGGAGAGACUCGGACGAAUGUGCAGCUACUGAAUGCCGAGACACCUACCAAGGGUCGAAUAUACGAAGACACAUCGACCUAGUUACUAGCUGCCUCGUGAUCUGAAAACAUGAAGUUGAAAACGGUGAGUAUAAACCCAAUGAGUGAACAAGAAGGGAACAAGCAUACCAUAAGGAAUGUUUGACGAAAUCAUAAUGCAUUCAUUUUUCAAAACAAUGCAAUUUAUUUGAGUUCUUAUUAAACCCCUCAUGUAAACCCCACAUGAGAAAUAUCACAUAUUGAAAAGAGUUCAUGCUCAACCAAGGUUUUUGAGAGUGAAAACUUUAAUAACAUUCAUGCGAAUAAAGUCAAAUAAACGACGAGUCCUCGCUGCAGUAGAAAAGCAUUUUUGCUGCAGCGACACUUGACUUAAAUUAUCAUCUAGCCGAGGGUUUCUUAACUGGCCGAGAGUUUCUCACCAAACCUCCUCAUUUUAAACUUAAUUCAUUUAUUCCUUAAUGUUGGAAGUCCAUGCUCAACUAUGGUACCAAAGAAAUGGAAAAUAGGGUAGCAACUGAACCAAAUGAGGAGAAAAACAGAAAGUUUUUCGCUGCAGCAAAAUUUUGGGUUUCAAAACAGAAAGUUUCUCACUGCAGCGAGAAGCUACAGUAACAUUCUCGCUGCAGCGAGAUUCUCGGCCAACACCACCCCUCCAAACCUGAGACUUUCUCGCAGCGACGAGAAUGAAUCUCGCUGCAGCAAGAAUAAGAACAUCAAGAAAAAAGUUUCAUUUUCCCUUAAAUCAAAGCCAUCCUGCUAAAAUAACAAAAGCAACAUGUAACACAUACAAACUCCCAAAUUUCAACAAUUCAAAUGCUCACAUUUUUGCAUUACAACCAUAUACCAUAUAUGUAUAUAUACACAUAUAUAUACAUAUACAUAUACGUAUAUAUACAUAUACAUAUAUGUAUAUGUAUAUAUACAUAUAUAUACAUACAUAUACAUACAUAUACACAUACAUAAACAUAUAUAUACAUACAUAUACAUAUAUACAUAUGUAUAUGUAUGUAUAUGUAUGUGUAUGUAUGUAUAUAUAUAUAUAUAUAUAUAAAUCAAUCAUCAUGUACACUCUCUCAUCGUCAUCAUCUCAUAUGCAACGACUUAUGCGCACUCCCACUCGCACAUAGCCGGGUCAACAACGGCUUAUGUGCACUCCUACUCGCACAUAGUCGGGUCAAUAUCAUUACACGACAUUAUUCGUAUAUAUAUAUAUAUAUAUCAACAUAGUGUAGUAGUUCAACCAUCCAUAACAGCCACAUAUCAUAAUAUAAAAUCAAUUUAUCAAAGGUUUGUUCCCAAAACACUCGUUUUCAAAUAAAAUUGAAUAAAAUCAUUCAAGCAAAUAGUGCAAAUAAGUUUACAUUCCCAAAAUAAUUUUUGAAAUGCAAGUCCACUCAUCGGUGUUUAUUGAGCCUUUAACCGACUCUAACUUCCCUAAUGGUCCAAUUGGGAUGGUGUGGCUUCAUUGGAACCUAUCAUCACAUUAACAUCACAAUUAUGUUAAUUCACAUACUUAUAGAGUCCAAAAGCUUUCUCUUAGCUUACUUCAAAUGGCCAUUAAAUGGCUAUCCAUUUUCACUAUCCUAUCAUUCCAAAGUGAAUUAACAAUCUCAACUACAAAAUAUUCACAAAUCAAAUCUCUAGUCAUUCUCAACACUAAAAUUUCAACUCAAAUUUACUACUCACCUUUAAAACUUUGAAAUUCUUUCCAACAAUUCUCCAAACUAUUGUAAAACUUCCUCUUUCUCUCUCUAAAGCACCUAACUAGUGAGAAAGAGUAUGAAAACAAGAUUUUUCAAGGGUUUUAAAGUGAGAGAAUGGAAGAGCACAAGGGUUUAUGGAAAGGGUGCACCAAAAGCAUGAAAUUUGGAGCUAUUUGAGGAAGGUUGUGGAGCUUUCUUAUCAAGCUUUCAUGGAGGUUGGGAAGCAACGUGAAAGAGAAAAAGAAGAAGAAGAAAA